CCUACGGGUGGCUGCAGUGAGGAAUAUUGGUCAAUGGACGCAAGUCUGAACCAGCCAAGUAGCGUGCAGGAUGACGGCCCUCCGGGUUGUAAACUGCGCUUAGUUGGGAGUAAAAGGGGGGUAGUGAGCCCCGUAUUGUAUGUAGCAACAGAAAAAGGACCGGCUAAUUCCGUGCCAGCAGCCGCGGUAAUACGGAAGUGCCGGGCGUUAUCCGGAUUCAUUGGGUUUAAAGGGAGCGUAGGCCGGCUUUUAAGUCAGCUGUGGAAGCCCGCGGCUCAACCGUGGAAUUGCAUUUGAAACUGGAGGCCUUGAGUGCAGAUAGGGAUGCCGGAAUUCAUGGUGUAGCGGUGAAAUGCGUAGAUAUCAUGAAGAACUCCGAUCGCGAAGGCAAGUGUCCGGGGUGCAACUGACGCUGAGGCUCGAAAGUGCGGGUAGCAAACAGGAUUAGAUACCCUAGUAGUC
rnacentral:rRNA from 1 species